GAUGAACGCUAGCUACAGGCUUAACACAUGCAAGUCGCAGGGUAACAUGAGGAAAGCUUGCUUUCCUUGAUGACGACUGGCGCACGGGUGAGUAACGCGUAUCCAACCUUCCCAUAACUACGGGAUAACCCGUUGAAAGACGGCCUAAUACCGUAUGAUAUCGUUUGCUGACAUCAAAUAACGAUUAAAGGUUUAGCGGUUAUGGAUGGGGAUGCGUCUGAUUAGCUUGUUGGCGGGGUAACGGCCCACCAAGGCGACGAUCAGUAGGGGUUCUGAGAGGAAGGUCCCCCACAUUGGAACUGAGACACGGUCCAAACUCCUACGGAGGCAGCAGUGAGGAAUAUUGGUCAAUGGGCGAGAGCCUGAACCAGCCAAGUAGCGUGCAGGACGACGGCCCUAUGGGUUGUAAACUGCUUUUAUGGGGGGAUAAAGUGCGUGACGUGUCAUGCAUUGCAGGUACCACAUGAAUAAGGACCGGCUAAUUCCGUG
rnacentral:rRNA from 1 species